AGAUGAUCUCCAAUGUCCAGCCACAGGAGACCCAGGCCAACUCCAGGUCCGGAUUAGGGCUUGAGGCUGAGACCAAGCCUCCAAGGACUGAUCCAGGGCAUGAAGCCCAGACCAAGUUCUUGCAGGCGGAGCCCAGGACCAGAUCAUGACCGGAGGCAGAGGCUGACCAGUUGGACUUCCGGAAUCUGAAACCUAAGUGCUCAGGAGAGUUCCCAGGGCCUCCCGGGUCUGGCCUGGUACUGGGGCCGUGACGAAGGAAGAGUGAGUGUGCAAGUCCUGUAGCGAGAGGCCUGGCGGAGACAGGAUUGGGAUACCCCCUGACGACCUUGGUCUGCAGACCCCGCUGGAGUCGGUGAACUUGAUCGACGCUGGUGGAGGGGCUGCGACGCUGGUGGAGGGGCUGCGCUUGGCGCCCUGGGAGCGCAGCAAGAGCGUGGCCCGGCUUCUGCAGAGCUUCUGCUCACAGCUGGUCAAACGACAGCAGCUGGGGGUCAAGGUGGCCCAGGAGCUGAAGGAAUACCGCUAAUCACCAAGCAGGUAUUCAAAGCCAUUGCCUCUGGCCAUCCCUGCUACCUGCCUGGACCCAGUCGGUCCUCCCAAAGGGCCCAGCUGGGAGCCGGUAGGCGCGAGUGUGGAGUGAAGAUGCAGAGAAGCCUGACUCUCCAGCGACCCCCGCCCGCCCCGCCUCUGCCAC
rnacentral:lncRNA from 1 species